UACGAAGGGUGCAAACGUUGCUCGGAAUUAUUGGGCGUAAAGCGCACGUAGGCGGCUAUCUAAGUCGGAUGUGAAAUCCCUCGGCUUAACCAAGGAAGUGCACCCGAAACUGGAUAGCUUGAGUACAGAAGAGGAUCGCGGAAUUCCCGGUGUAGAGGUGAAAUUCGUAGAUAUCGGGAGGAACACCGGUGGCGAAGGCGGCGACCUGGGUCGAUACUGACGCUGAGGUGCGAAAGCGUGGGGAGCAAACAGG
rnacentral:rRNA from 1 species